UUCCCCUUAUCUUCAACACAAUAAAAACAAACAGCCAAAACCCAUUCCAACGCUAACAACAACAAGCGAGCAACAACGUUCAACAACCAACGAUAGCCAACAACAAUUCAAUGGUAAAAUUAUCCCUUUUACCCUCGUAAUUCAUUCAUCCAUGGCCAAAGUUCAGAAAGCUUUCACCAUUUUCAGCCCAUCACUCACCAUUUUGGGAAACCAUUAAUUCACCUCUUUGACCAUAAAGCCAAACGGCUCUUUCCUCUAUCCCUUUACUGAUUCGUGAGUACAAAGGCCAUUCCUCACCAUGGAUAUCAAAAAAAUUUUAGAAACAGAUUUGAAAUUUUCAAUUUGAAGUUCACUCUUUCAAAACCCUAGCUUCCCCUAUAAAUAGAUAGCAAGGGUCAAGGGUGAAGGAGGAGGAUUUUUCGGGAAAAAACUUGGAAAUUUUGAAGGAGCAUUCCUUUAACUUCACGCAAUCGAAAAUCCGUCGAGGUUAUCCUAAACUCCGGCAAAACUUGAGUUCGAAAUUCGAUUCCGAAGUCGUCUUGCUCAUUUCGGCGUCCCAGUUCCUGCGCCAAAAAAAGUUAAUCCCUCAUCCUUUUAUCUGCUCUCUCAAAUAACAUAGAGUUAGUAGUGUAAUGCUAGCUGUUACUUUAUGUGUGUUAGUAUAUUUUCGAUUCUGAGGGUGCUUUUUCUCCGUAGAUGAUAGUAGCUAUGAGUAAAUCACAUAUUAAAUUGAGGGUGUUUGUUUUGCUGGUAUAGAAAACUAGGAUUUAUUAUGUUUUCUUGUUGUUUCUGGUAGUAUAAACCUCACAAUAGGUAAAAAAAUGGAGGUGAUUUGUUGGUUGAGGUCCCAAAGAUUAUAUGUUGAACUUGUAUACUCUUGUUGUCCCUUUGUUAAAAGUUUACCGUUUAAGCAUUUUGUUCGUGUCUAAAAUCAUGUUAAUAAAUUUAGUAUGUUUCGUCCCUCAUAACAUUCUUUUAGGUCUUUAUUUUUAUUGAAUCAAUCUUUAUUUGACCUUUUUCUAUAUUCCUAGUGAUGAAUUAUAUGUCAUAGUUUAUUUUCUUCACAAUUCCUCUAUAGUUAAGGUUUUAUGCUUGUUUUAGCCCGUAAUUGACUUUUUCAGCUACCUUGUUUUCCUUUGUUUCCUCUGUGAAUUGUAGAACCACUCCUAAGAUUUCCUUGGCUCAAAAUAUUAAUGGGUAUAGUGGGAGUAGGUUUGUAUUCCAAAGACUCCUCGUGACCCUCUUAAUAUACCAAUGUCCUUUUGGACUUGUCAAGGAGUGAAGGGGAAUGAAAUAGGCUUAGUUGACUUAAUAUAUGACUUUAUGAGAGGUUGUUAGUUUAUUCUUUUAAGUUUUGUAAAAUGCUACUGUUCAAGCCUUAUUUAUGUUUAAUCGUGUUAUUAAAUUUUGUGUGUUUCAUCUCUCAUAAUUAUAUUUAGCUUUGGACGAAUUCAUUUUAGUUUUUUCGUUGCUUGUUUUCUCGCUAGUGUUGGAUUAUGUCAUCUUAAGUUUUAAGGAUUUUUUUCAUAUGCAUUUUAGUUUUUUCGUGGCUUGUUUCAUCUAUGUUUUCUUAAGUUUUAAGGAUUUUUUCAUCUUAAGUGUGGUUUGUUUCUUGUUUGUGUGUCAAUUGAAUCCCCCGAUUUCGUGAGGAAUGAGUUUGUGACUAUAGAAUGUUUCUUCAGAGUUAUGAAUGUGGUGCUUUAAUACUUGAUCUAGUUCUUGAUACUAAUCUUUAUCCCUUUUCAUAUGCAUGAACUCCUCCGUCGAGUCCCGCGUACUCUCCACCCUUGCAUUUCGUUAGGUUAAACCCAACUCACAUUGAGUCAAGACCCGCACCAAGUCCAAAAUGGACUAACACAUGAAGAAAGUGGACUGAUACAAAGCUGUAUACAUCUGAUAUACACUAACAAACAAGUUUUUUAAAGGAGGAAAAAUGGAAAGGAAAGCUGGGCGAUAAAAGUUGUGUGUAUUUGGCUGAAAUACAGCCAUAUAUACACCGUAUAUAUACAGGAAACGCAGGAGUAUACAACUGGUAUACAAUGCAGAAAAAUGGACUUAAAGGUCCAGAAAAUAGGAAGCCCAAGCUGGGCAGCCCACUUAUGGGCUAAUAAAAGGUGCCCAAUUCUAACUUUAAUCUCUUAUUUACUUAUAAUUUGUAAUUUAUGCUUGU
rnacentral:lncRNA from 1 species